rnacentral:rRNA from 1 species
UCGAGAAUCUUCCGCAAUGGACGAAAGUCUGACGGAGCGACGCCGCGUGUGGGAUGAAGGCCUUCGGGUUGUAAACCACUGUCGGGGGGAGCAAAUUUGAGCGAUCCCCGGAGGAAGCACAGGCUAAAUUCGUGCCAGCAGCCGCGGUAAUACGAAUUGUGCGAACGUUAUUCGGAAUCACUGGGCUUAAAGGGUGCGUAGGCGGCCAUGAAGGUCUGAUGUGAAAUCCCACGGCUCAACCGUGGAAUUGCGUUGGAAACCACAUGGCUUGAGUAGGACAGAGGUGAGCGGAACUGAUGGUGGAGCGGUGAAAUGCGUUGAUAUCAUCAGGAACACCGGUGGCGAAAGCGGCUCACUGGGUCCUAACUGACGCUGAGGCACGAAAGCCAGGGGAGCAAACGGGAUUAGAUACCCCAGUAGUCCCUGAGCGGGCUGGCAAGGCGCAU